AUCAUCUCUCCAUCUCCCUCUCCCUCUUUCUGAAAUCUUCGGCACAAAGUGUUAUUAUACUUCAGAAAGCAAAAUGAGUUUGUGGUAUAUCGUAGUUACGUUCGUGUUCAUUGCAUCUAUACUCAUUGCAAAGAACACGAGAAUAACAAAGAAGAAUCUACCUCCUGGACCACCAAGACUUCCUGUAAUUGGCAACUUGCACAAGUUAGGGUCGGAACCUCACCGCUCGAUGUUCAAAUUAUUUAUCAGAAAAAUAUGGACCGUUAAUGUCCUUACAACUUGGAAAUAUAUUAUCUGUUGUGGCAUAUGGACUUGUCUGUCCUAAGAAGGUUCCACUUGAGGUUGUCCUCGUCCUUACCCAAUGGACUUAAUUCUAUAUUUUCAUAGUCAAAAUGUAACGAUCGGAAGGGAUAUAUAUAUAUAUAUAUAUAUAUAUAUAUAUAUAUAUAUAUA